rnacentral:rRNA from 1 species
UACGAAGGGGGCUAGCGUUGCUCGGAAUCACUGGGCGUAAAGGGCGCGUAGGCGGCCGUUCAAGUCGGGGGUGAAAGCCUGUGGCUCAACCACAGAAUGGCCCUCGAUACUGGAUGGCUCGAGACCGGAAGAGGUUGGUGGAACUGCGAGUGUAGAGGUGAAAUUCGUAGAUAUUCGCAAAGAACACCAGUGGCGAAGGCGACUUCCUGGCCUGUUCUUGACGCUGAGGCGCGAAAGCUAGGGUAGCAAACGGG